rnacentral:rRNA from 1 species
GGAUCGUAAACCUACCUGUCAGCAGGGGAAGAACGGUCACUGUGCUAAUCAGCAGUGAAUUUGACGGUACCUGCAAAGGAAGCACCGGCUAACUCCGUGCC